rnacentral:misc_RNA from 1 species
UUGUGAUUUCUGGUAAUGCACUUGG